rnacentral:rRNA from 1 species
CGAACGCUGGCGGCGUGCCUAAUACAUGCAAGUAGAACGCUGAAGAGAGGAGCUUGCUCUUCUUGGAUGAGUUGCGAACGGGUGAGUAACGCGUAGGGUAACCUGCCUGGUAGCGGGGGAUAACUAUUGGAAACGAUAGCUAAUACCCGCAUAAAAUUGAUUAUUGCAUGAUAAUUAAUUGAAAGAUGCAAUUGCAUCACUACCAGAUGGACCUGCGUUGUAUUAGCUAGUUGGUGAGGUAACGGCUCACCAAGGCGACGAUAUAUAGCCGACCUGAGAGGGUGAUCGGCCACACUGGGACUGAGACACGGCCCAGACUCCUACGGGAGGCAGCAGUAGGGAAUCUUCGGCAAUUGGGGGAA